rnacentral:tRNA from 1 species
GCCCACGUGACCGAGCCGUUAGGUGCCGGCCUGCAGAGCCGGUUUGAGUGAGUUCAACUCUCACCGUGGGCU